UACGUAGGGGGCAAGCGUUGUCCGGAUUUAUUGGGCGUAAAGAGCGUGUAGGCGGCUUUACAGGUCCGUUGUGAAAACUCGAGGCUCAACCUCGAGACGCCGGUGGAAACCGUAAAGCUAGAGUCCGGAAGAGGAGAGUGGAAGUCCUGGUGUAGCGGUGAAAUGCGCAGAUAUCAGGAAGAACACCCGUGGCGAAGGCGGCUCUCUGGGACGGUACUGACGCUGAGACGCGAAAGCGUGGGGAGCGAACAGG
rnacentral:rRNA from 1 species